CUCCCAAUUGCUCUCGGCCUCCUUUGUAGGAAAAAAAAUAUAUAUAUGCACUCGGCCUCCCUCUGACCCAGUAUCGCGCUCACCCUCAUUCUCGGCCCCCUCACCAUCGCCCUCACCCUUAAUCCCCCUCACCCUCUCAACCUCAUCGACCCUCUCAACCUCGCUCUCAAUCUCAACUGGUUUUUCUUACUUCAAGCAUCUGAUACAACAAGGCCCAGCAUAUAAUCCGUAGAAGUAAGGAGAGAAACGAAGAAGGAAGAGAUAGGCAAAAAAAUUGCAGACCCACUCAGGCAACGAUUAAAGCAGAGAGAAGACUCUAGUGUGAGAUAGGAAAAACUGGAGUUCGAGAAAGCUGUCAAAGGCGCAAAUCAAGUUCUGUUCAUUGCUCUGGAAACGAUGAUACGAUUAAGUGCAAUUUGGUGGGCUUAACUCUCCUCUCCAUUUUGCUGCAGCUAAAGGGCACAACGAGAUCGUUUUGGGUUUUCUUUGUUUCGAUUUCUGGGUUUGGUUUCCAUUUGAAAUUGAUGACCAUUUGAUUUUUAUGAUUUUGGUUCUUUUCUGGCGCCUUUGAUUCAGAUUAUUUCAUUGCUUUUGGAGAAUGGAAUUGAUGUAAACUCCAGAAAUUACUGUGGGCAGAUUUGGGAUUUAGGUGAUUGAUUGGAAAAGUUUCAAGCUUUGUUCUUGAGCUCAGUUUUUCAAACCACGCAGCUGCAAGCAGGGUGGCGAGCUGUGGCCAUUCCUUGCAUAGAGAUUGUCUUCGUUUCUAUGGAUUUGGGAAAGUGGUUGCUUGCUUUCGGUAUGCAUCGAUUAUGUUCAUUCUGUCUACCUUCCACCCUCCAAACUGGAUUUCAUUUCUGAGAAGCAGGAGUGGAUACAAAAAGAAACUAAUAAGAUUUGGGAUUUAGGUGAUUGAUUGGAAAAGUUUCAAGCUUUGUUCCUGAUGUUUGGUAAUUUGAAUAUUUUCAUUGGAUGGUGACUCGCUUGGUUUCUGCAGGUUUGGGAUGUUGAUUAUUGAUUGGAGAGGUUUCAAGUUAUGAUUUUACUGUAUGUUAUAUCGAUGGAGAAGUUUUUAGAAUCUCUUAGAUUGUUGGUUUUUCUGGAAUUGAAGGCUUAAUAAUAGAAUCUAACAUGUAAAUGCAUAUGCAGUGGAAGGGACUGUUGUAUUUUGAUUUCUGGUUUUGGUGAGUUUGGUGGGUCUUCUACUUUUGUUCUGUUUUGCUAAGAAGACGAACUGUGUUUCCAAGCAGUUUUUUUUUUUUUUUUUUCUAAGAGCACGAACUCUGUUUGUAAUACAGGCCUGUGGUUCUUCCUCCGGAAGUGUCAAAGCUACUUCCAGAGAAUUGGCUUUUUCCUGACAUAGGUUUAUAGAGCUGGCUUUUAUUUUAUUUUAAUUUUAGAGUGAUUGGGUCUGUUUAUGUUCUUAAUUGGAACAAUAUUUGUGUUUGAUUUCUGUGGAAAGGAUUUAGUUACUGAAUUUUGUUUAGGCUAAUAGGUUGUUUGUAAUUGUCAUUCAUUCAGUUUCGUCUGUUUUCUUUCCCAUGACAAAUAAAGUUUUUUUUUUUUUGGCUCACAGAAACUUUGUGUUAAAGUUAUUAUUGGUAGCUUUGCAAUUAAUUUUAGUGUUUCAUAGUUGUUUUAUUUGAUUUCUGCAUAUUUUAUGCAAAAGAAUUUUGGCACCAUCUUUGUGCAGUUUUUCCUUUGCCUAUUGCUCAGUGUCGUCUUGCUUAAUCGGGAAUCGUCGAACGGUCCACGUGGCAAGAUCAGGGACACCAAUGGAAUUUGUGAUUUUCAAAUUGUUAUUAUAGUAGCCACUUUGGGGAAGGUUGGUUGGUAUCUAAAGAUCUGAGGGUUGAAGAAGGUAAGCUGGUAUCGCUGGGCUGAGUUAAGCUUGCUAUCCUUAAGUGGGAGAGAAGAAGUAAAGCAGCAUAUUCCCAAGAGGAUAUCGAUGUGGUCAGAACUGAGUGGGCAAAGUUUGUGGUUAAAACAUAUAUGUAAGAUUUGUGUUGGUACUUCUUGGAGACCUAGUUCAAAGUUUGUGGUUAUGUUUUGGUUGGACAUGAUCAGUAGCUAGUACUUUGAAUUGAUAUGUAAGAAAUACUUUAUACAAUUAGGUACCCUAUUUCUAGUUUCGGUGUGUUUUGGCAAUGUAUGACAAUGCUGUGCUAGUAAAUGACAUUUGAACUAAUUUGUGUUUCAUA